rnacentral:lncRNA from 1 species
AUUUGCCAAAUUUUUGGUCUUUAUCACAAUACAUGAUAUAUAUCUGAAUAUUUUGACCUCACCUCAGAAGGACUUCAUAAAAGGUGCGACUGGGCGACAAAAUCAAAUAACACAGUAUUUUUGACCAAAGACCUCAAUAUCGAUAUUGCAGCAUAUUUGUGCGAAUGACUGUUGGUACCUUUAUAAAAUACAAACACAAUGACAUUUGCCUUAGAGCAUGUUUGUCACAGACCAGCAAAACAUGUGGUGACUUUUCAUUGGAUGAGCUUUGUACUGAACAAACAUUCUUAGCUCAGAAGUACAUAUAUAUUGAAGGUGCAUCAGUUGGAAAGUCAAAAUAUUCCUGACUUGAGUUGAAGUUCUGUGGACCUGAGAGCUACUGAAAACUGAAGAAAAUGAAGAUCCAGAUUCUCCUGCUGGCCUGUGCUUUUGUGGCUGCGAUCAAUGCCGCACCAACAGCAGAUGAUUCUGCUAAACCCAAAGCUAUCAAUGAUGAGGUUAAAGCUGAUGUGCUAAAGCCAAAUCUGGAUGCCGCCGGAGUGAAUGAGCCCAACAUGGAGGACGACUUAGAAGAUGAUGAGCCCGACAUGGACGAAGAUGCAGAAGAUGAUGAGCCCGUAAUGGACGAGGAUGCCGAAGAUGAUGAGCCCGACAUGGACAAGGAUGCCGAAGAUGAUGAGCCCGACAUGGACAAGGAUGCCGAAGAUGAUGAGCCCAACAUGGACAAGGAUUCCGAAGAUGAUGAGCCCGACAUGGACGAGGAUUCCGAAGAUGAUGAGCCCGAUAUGGACGAGGAUUCUGAAGAUGAUGAGCCCGACAUGGACAAGGAUGCCGAAGAUGAUGAGCCCGACAUGGAUAAGGAUGCCGAAGAUGAUGAGCCCAACAUGGACGAGGAUUCCGAAGAUGAUGAGCCCGACAUGGACAAGGAUGCCGAAGAUGAUGAGCCCGACAUGGACAAGGAUGCCGAAGAUGAUGAGCCCAACAUGGACGAGGAUUCUGAAGAUGAUGAGUCCGAGAAGAAUGAGGAUCCCAAGAAAGAUGAGCCCAAGAAAGAUGAGCCCAAGAAAGAUGAGGCUGAGCCUAAGCCUCUUAAGUAAACAUCUGAAAUAGCUGAAUCCCUCACAACACCUUGCCUCUCUCUGACUAACAUCUGAUCUUCAGCAUCACAGGUGUCGACAUGAUGACCACCACGACAUGAUUGCACAUUAAAACCAACUGAGGCGAUGUCUUACAGUGAUGGGAUCAAAUAAAAGCUUUUCACGUGCUGAAAUGAAAUAUUUGCCUGAGUGUCAUUAUUAGUAUUUUCUUGUGCUUUUUACUCAUUAAAUGUUUUUCAGUGCAAGUAUUAUUACAUCCAAAACCCCUAAAAGGUAGCAUUUUCUGUGUAUUUGCUAUAUUUUGAUUCCCACAACCCUGAAAUUAAUCCAAAAUGUAUUCUAAAAGGUGUCCAUUAAAUUAAACAUAUACAGUGCUGUGAAAAAGUAUUUGCCCCCUUACAGAUUUAUUUUGUUUUUGCUUUUUUGUCACACUUGCAUGUUUCAGAUCAUCAAAGACAUUUCAUUAUCAGACAUAGAUAACCUGAGAAAAUACAAAAUACAGUUUUUAAAUGACAAUUUCAUUUAUUAAGGGAAAUAAACUAUCCAAACCAACCCGGUCCUGUGUGAAAAAGUGAUUGCCCCCUAAAUCUAAUAACUGGUUGUGCCACCCUUUGGCAGCAACUACUGCAAUCAAGCAUUUACACGUGAUUCCUAGGAACUAAAACUGUUCCACCUCAGCUCCACUGAUGUAGACAGGGAAGUGUGUCUUUGAUUCUAUUUUUCAAAAUCAACAAUCAGCGCCAUGAUUUUUGCCGAUGUUUGCCAAUGUUGAACGUUCUCUGUGCACCAGUCUGCAUGAUUGUUGAUUCCCUCCCAAUAGGAACUCUCAUCCUUGUUUGUAAUGUGGCCAACGAUGGUGGUGUCAUCUGUGUACUUCACUAUAAAGUGAUGUCUGGGAGCGCAAUUGUGCGUACAGUGUAAACAGUAGGAGGGAGCACAUAGCCCUGGAUGGCUCCGUGCUGAGUGCUAGAAUACAGGAGGUCUGGCUGCCAAUCCGUACUUUCUGGGUUCUACUUGUGAGGAAGUCUAAAUAUCCAUUGCAAAAAGUGGCAGUCAAGCCCAGUGUCUGAAGUUUUCCAAUCAGCCUCAUGGGUGAGCUUGUAUUCAAUGCUGAGCUAAAGUCAACAAACAGCAUUCUGAUGUAGCUGCUUUUAUUUUAAAGUGGUGUGAAAACUGAGUGGAGGGCAGUGGAUAUGGCAUCCUCUGUGGAUCUGCUGGUUCUGAAAGCAUACAGGUGAGGGUUCAGGCGGGCCUAGGUUAAGGUCAGUGUUCAUGAUUCAACAAUAAGAAAGAGACUGGGCAAAGAUGGCCUCCAUGGGAGAGUUCCAAGGAGAAAACCACUACUGACCAAAAAGAACACAAAGGCCUGUCUAACAUUUGCCAAAAAACAUCUUGAUGAUCACGACUUGUGGGAAAAUACUCUGUGGACGGACGAGACAAGAGUAGAACUUUCUGGAAGGUGCGCGUCCCGUUAAAAUUAACUCAGCAAUUCAGAAAAAGAACAUCAUACCAACAGCUUUGCUGCUUCAGGACCUGGAUGACUUGCUGUAAUUGAUUAAUUUCACGCUCAAAAAUCCUCCAAUGUGGCUGAAUUAAAACAAUUCUGCAAAGAUUAGUGGGCCAAAAUUCCUCCACAGUGAUGUAAAAGACUCAUUGCCAGUUAUCGCAAAUGCUUGAUUGCAGUUGUUGCCUCCAAAGGGUGGCACAACCAGUUAUUAGGUUUAGGGGGCAAUCGUUUUUUCACACAGGGCCAGGUUGGUUUGGAUAGUUUAUUUCCCUUAAUAAAUGAAAUUGUCAUUUAAAAAACUGUAUUUUAUAUUUUCUCAGGUAAUCUAUGUCUGAUAAUGAAAUGUCUUUGAUGAUCUGAAACAUGCAAAUGUGACAAAAAAGCAAAAACAAAAUAAAUCUGUAAGGGGGCAAAUACUUUUUCACAGCACUCAAUAUGUUAAAUUUAAUGGACACCUUUUAGAAUACAUUUUGGAUCAAUUUCAGGGUUGUGGGAAUCAAAAUAUAGCAAAGGUACAGAAAAUGCUACCUUUAAGGGGUUUUGGAUGUGAUAAUACUCACACAGACAAACACACAAAAAAGUAAAAAACACAAGAAAAUACUAAUAAUGACACUCAGGCAAAUAUUUCAUUUCAGCACUUGAAAAGCUUUUAUUUGAUCCCAUCACUGUAAGACAUAGCCUCAGUUGGUUUUAAUGCAUCAUCAUGUCGUGGUGGUCAUCAUGUCGACACCCGUGAUGCUGAAGAUUAGAUGUUAGUCAGAGAGCUGCGGAGGAAGAGCAGAUACAGACACAGGUGAGUAUAUAGACUACAAGGCAUGAGCUUAAAUGUUACCUUGCAUCAUGGUAAGUCCAAGUUUUCGGCGGGAUGUUCAGUCAGAUCCUAACUCUGUUUCAAUUUACAUUUGAGCAGAUAAAUAUCUGUUUAUGUACUUAUCAGUACGUUGAUCAUUGAGUGAGGAACACUUAAGCAUCAUGCUGCCAAUUUAAAUAUUUCUCUUACAAGAUUAAAAAAGAUAAAUAGAAAGAAACAAAUUGGGAAUAGACUGAUUACAGAAGUAUACUACAGGUUAAAAGAAAAAACAACAUAAAAAAACUGACUACUACUAUCAUUCACUCACUCACAUGCACAAUUUUUGUUGAUUUUCCGGGUUAUCUCUUUUUGCUCCUAUAAUACAAAGAAUUUCUGUACAAUUUAAGGCCUGCGGGUAUUCACACAUGACAUAUAAGUGCAAGGUUAAGAAGUAUCAGUGGCAAAAGUAAUGGCUGCAAACUUACUUGUGAGGGAUUCAGCUUUUUCAGGUGUUUACUGAAGAGGCUUAGGCUCAGCCUUAUCUUUCUUGGGCUCAUCUUUCUUGGGCUCAUCUUUCUUGGGCUCAUCUUUCUUGGGCUCAUCUUUCUUAGGCUCAUCUUUCUUGGGAUCCUCAUCCUUCUCGGGCUCAUCUUCUUCGGCAUCCUCGUCCAUGUCGGGCUCGUCUUCUUCGGCAUCCUCGUCCAUGUCGGGCUCGUCUUCUUCGGCAUUCUCGUCCAUGUCGGGCUCGUCUUCUUCGGCAUCCUCGUCCAUUUCGGGCUCAUCUUCUUCGGCAUCCUCGUCCAUUUCGGGCUCAUCUUCUUCGGCAUCCUCGUCCAUGUUGGGCUCAUCAUCUUCGGCAUCCUC